rnacentral:rRNA from 1 species
AUGAUCGCGUUUGCAAAUAAACUAUGCUAAAUCUUCAUAAUAAAUCGAAUCCAACAUGCCACUGGUACUUUUUUUAUCUGGCGGUAGUUGAACUGAGUCGAAAUUCGGAAGAAAUGCCGCUAAAUAUUUUUCCCAGCGUGGUAACGAUUUUGCCAUCUGACCAGCUUCAGUUUAUAAUAUUCAUUCCAAAUUUUGGCACGAUGCCAGCAAUUUCGGCCCGCACGGUUCCUCCGCGGUUGCACUUCGCCGAAUGUCAGAAGCAGCUGGUACGUUCACUGAAAAAAUUAGAGCGCUCAGAGCGAGCCCUGCCGGCUUGCAUACGAAAAGCAUGCGAAUGAUGGAAAAUGACCUCGUCAUCUAUCAGGACCACUGGUAUUGCGACCGGAACCACCGAUAUUGCGUCGUUAGACGUGAAAAUCUUGGAUCGUCGCAAGCCGCACAGCAGCGACAGCGGGUGGCAUGCAGGAGGAAGAGCGAAAAUCGGAGGUUCGAAGACAAUCAGAUACUGUCGUAAUUCCGACAGAAAAUGAUACUGAUGGGAGGU